UCCGAUUAGAUACCCUGGUAGUCCACACUGUAAACGUUGAUUACUCGCUGUUGGCGAUAUACAGCCAGCGGCUUAGCGCAAGCGAUAAGUAAUCCACCUGGGGAGUACGCCGGCAACGGUGAAACUCAAAGGAAUUGACGGGGGCCCGCACAAGCGGUGGAGCAUGUGGUUUAAUUCGACGCAACGCGCAGAACCUUACCAGGGCUUGACAUGCAGGGUAAACCCGUGGAAACACGGGGCUCCUUCGGGAGCCUGCACAGGUGCUGCAUGGCUGUCGUCAGCUCGUGCCGUGAGGUGUUGCCUUAAGUGGCGCAACGAGCGCAACCCCUGUCCAAUGUUGCCAGCGGGUAAUGCCGGGGACUCAUUGGAGACUGCCGGUGCCAAACCGGAGGAAGGUGGG
rnacentral:misc_RNA from 1 species